ACACAUGCAGUCGAACGAACUCUUCGGAGUUAGUGGCGGACGGGUGAGUAACACGUGGGAACGUGCCUUUUGGUUCGGAAUAACUCAGGGAAACUUGUGCUAAUACCGAAUGUGCCCUUCGGGGGAAAGAUUUAUCGCCAUUAGAGCGGCCCGCGUCUGAUUAGCUAGUUGGUGAGGUAAAGGCUCACCAAGGCGACGAUCAGUAGCUGGUCUGAGAGGAUGAUCAGCCACAUUGGGACUGAGACACGGCCCAAACUCCUACGGGAGGCAGCAGUGGGGAAUCUUGCGCAAUGGGCGAAAGCCUGACGCAGCCAUGCCGCGUGAAUGAUGAAGGUCUUAGGAUUGUAAAAUUCUUUCACCGGGGACGAUAAUGACGGUACCCGGAGAAGAAGCCCCGGCUAACUUCGUGCCAGCAGCCGCGGUAAUACGAAGGGGGCUAGCGUUGCUCGGAAUUACUGGGCGUAAAGGGAGCGUAGGCGGACAUUUAAGUCAGGGGUGAAAUCCCGGGGCUCAACCUCGGAAUUGCCUUUGAUACUGGGUGUCUUGAGUAUGAGAGAGGUAUGUGGAACUCCGAGUGUAGAGGUGAAAUUCGUAGAUAUUCGGAAGAACACCAGUGGCGAA
rnacentral:rRNA from 1 species